GGGUUGGUAGACGUGAAUGGAUUGGGGGUGUAUAGGUGGGUGCUGAUGAAAAGGCGGGGGUGAGCUAUGUAGGUGGGUGCGUGUUUGGUUGCUGUGGGGCUGUGUACCCUACAGAGGGAAGUGCCCGCUGCUCCCUGGUUUGCUUGUGAGCAGGUGAAUUCAUAUUCCACAAUUCGCAUCCACUCGCUCGCAAGAAUCUUCCGGGACGCGCACACGGGAUUCACCACGGAGUGCGUCGUCUCAAACAGAGGUGAAGAUGGAGAGGAAAAGGAGAUUUCUCCAUGGAGCUGCAGACGCAGAGGACACGGACUCGCGUUUAUGAUGAUGUCAUGGGUUGGCCAAUGCUAAGGCGAUGGAGCUGCUGACGGAUGUGCUGUGGAGGCAAGACGAGGACUUGGGCGCGAACCGAGACCUGUUCCACGGGGGCCCCAAACCCCGCUCCCCCCUCCCGCUCCGCAAGCGCCCUCCCGUCGUGGGGGGGGCCGCAGUGCCGCGGGCUCUCACCGGCGGUCCCUGCCCUGGUGGGCCCUGCCCCGGUGGGCCCUGCCCCUUCUACUGCAUCGGGCCGUGCCCCUGCGCCUGCCACUGCCCUGGGCCCCGCAGUGAGA